rnacentral:rRNA from 1 species
UUAAGCGACUAAGCGUACACGGUGGAUGCCCUGGCAGUCAGAGGCGAUGAAGGACGUGCUAAUCUGCGAUAAGCGUCGGUAAGGUGAUAUGAACCGUUAUAACCGGCGAUUUCCGAAUGGGGAAACCCAGUGUGUUUCGACACACUAUCAUUAACUGAAUCCAUAGGUUAAUGAGGCGAACCGGGGGAACUGAAACAUCUAAGUACCCCGAGGAAAAGAAAUCAACCGAGAUUCCCCCAGUAGCGGCGAGCGAACGGGGAGCAGCCCAGAGCCUGAAUCAGUGUGUGUGUUAGUGGAAGCGUCUGGAAAGGCGCGCGAUACAGGGUGACAGCCCCGUACACAAAAAUGCACAUAUUGUGAGCUCGAUGAGUAGGGCGGGACACGUGGUAUCCUGUCUGAAUAUGGGGGGACCAUCCUCCAAGGCUAAAUACUCCUGACUGACCGAUAGUGAACCAGUACCGUGAGGGAAAGGCGAAAAGAACCCCGGCGAGGGGAGUGAAAAAGAACCUGAAACCGUGUACGUACAAGCAGUGGGAGCCUCUUUUAUGGGGUGACUGCGUACCUUUUGUAUAAUGGGUCAGCGACUUAUAUUCUGUAGCAAGGUUAACCGAAUAGGGGAGCCGAAGGGAAACCGAGUCUUAACUGGGCGUUAAGUUGCAGGGUAUAGACCCGAAACCCGGUGAUCUAGCCAUGGGCAGGUUGAAGGUUGGGUAACACUAACUGGAGGACCGAACCGACUAAUGUUGAAAAAUUAGCGGAUGACUUGUGGCUGGGGGUGAAAGGCCAAUCAAACCGGGAGAUAGCUGGUUCUCCCCGAAAGCUAUUUAGGUAGCGCCUCGUGAACUCAUCUCCGGGGGUAGAGCACUGUUUCGGCAAGGGGGUCAUCCCGACUUACCAACCCGAUGCAAACUGCGAAUACCGGAGAAUGUUAUCACGGGAGACACACGGCGGGUGCUAACGUCCGUCGUGAAGAGGGAAACAACCCAGACCGCCAGCUAAGGUCCCAAAGUCAUGGUUAAGUGGGAAACGAUGUGGGAAGGCCCAGACAGCCAGGAUGUUGGCUUAGAAGCAGCCAUCAUUUAAAGAAAGCGUAAUAGCUCACUGGUCGAGUCGGCCUGCGCGGAAGAUGUAACGGGGCUAAACCAUGCACCGAAGCUGCGGCAGCGACACUAUGUGUUGUUGGGUAGGGGAGCGUUCUGUAAGCCUGUGAAGGUGUNAUGCUGGAGGUAUCAGAAGUGCGAAUGCUGACAUAAGUAACGAUAAAGCGGGUGAAAAGCCCGCUCGCCGGAAGACCAAGGGUUCCUGUCCAACGUUAAUCGGGGCAGGGUGAGUCGACCCCUAAGGCGAGGCCGAAAGGCGUAGUCGAUGGGAAACAGGUUAAUAUUCCUGUACUUGGUGUUACUGCGAAGGGGGGACGGAGAAGGCUAUGUUGGCCGGGCGACGGUUGUCCCGGUUUAAGCGUGUAGGCUGGUUUUCCAGGCAAAUCCGGAAAAUCAAGGCUGAGGCGUGAUGACGAGGCACUACGGUGCUGAAGCAACAAAUGCCCUGCUUCCAGGAAAAGCCUCUAAGCAUCAGGUAACAUCAAAUCGUACCCCAAACCGACACAGGUGGUCAGGUAGAGAAUACCAAGGCGCUUGAGAGAACUCGGGUGAAGGAACUAGGCAAAAUGGUGCCGUAACUUCGGGAGAAGGCACGCUGAUAUGUAGGUGAAGUCCCUCGCGGAUGGAGCUGAAAUCAGUCGAAGAUACCAGCUGGCUGCAACUGUUUAUUAAAAACACAGCACUGUGCAAACACGAAAGUGGACGUAUACGGUGUGACGCCUGCCCGGUGCCGGAAGGUUAAUUGAUGGGGUUAGCGCAAGCGAAGCUCUUGAUCGAAGCCCCGGUAAACGGCGGCCGUAACUAUAACGGUCCUAAGGUAGCGAAAUUCCUUGUCGGGUAAGUUCCGACCUGCACGAAUGGCGUAAUGAUGGCCAGGCUGUCUCCACCCGAGACUCAGUGAAAUUGAACUCGCUGUGAAGAUGCAGUGUACCCGCGGCAAGACGGAAAGACCCCGUGAACCUUUACUAUAGCUUGACACUGAACAUUGAGCCUUGAUGUGUAGGAUAGGUGGGAGGCUUAGAAGUGUGGACGCCAGUCUGCAUGGAGCCGACCUUGAAAUACCACCCUUUAAUGUUUGAUGUUCUAACGUUGACCCGUGAUCCGGGUUGCGGACAGUGUCUGGUGGGUAGUUUGACUGGGGCGGUCUCCUCCUAAAGAGUAACGGAGGAGCACGAAGGUUGGCUAAUCCUGGUCGGACAUCAGGAGGUUAGUGCAAUGGCAUAAGCCAGCUUGACUGCGAGCGUGACGGCGCGAGCAGGUGCGAAAGCAGGUCAUAGUGAUCCGGUGGUUCUGAAUGGAAGGGCCAUCGCUCAACGGAUAAAAGGUACUCCGGGGAUAACAGGCUGAUACCGCCCAAGAGUUCAUAUCGACGGCGGUGUUUGGCACCUCGAUGUCGGCUCAUCACAUCCUGGGGCUGAAGUAGGUCCCAAGGGUAUGGCUGUUCGCCAUUUAAAGUGGUACGCGAGCUGGGUUUAGAACGUCGUGAGACAGUUCGGUCCCUAUCUGCCGUGGGCGCUGGAGAACUGAGGGGGGCUGCUCCUAGUACGAGAGGACCGGAGUGGACGCAUCACUGGUGUUCGGGUUGUCAUGCCAAUGGCACUGCCCGGUAGCUAAAUGCGGAAGAGAUAAGUGCUGAAAGCAUCUAAGCACGAAACUUGCCCCGAGAUGAGUUCUCCCUGACCCUUUAAGGGUCCUGAAGGAACGUUGAAGACGACGACGUUGAUAGGCCGGGUGUGUAAGCGCAGCGAUGCGUUGAGCUAACCGGUACUAAUGAACCGUGAGGCUUAACCUU